AGUGAACGCUGGCGGUAGGCCUAACACAUGCAAGUCGAACGGCAGCACAGUAAGAGCUUGCUCUUACGGGUGGCGAGUGGCGGACGGGUGAGGAAUACAUCGGAAUCUACUUUUUCGUGGGGGAUAACGUAGGGAAACUUACGCUAAUACCGCAUACGACCUACGGGUGAAAGCAGGGGAUCUUCGGAACUUGCGCGAUUGAAUGAGCCGAUGUCGGAUUAGCUAGUUGGCGGGGUAAAGGCCCACCAAGGCGACGAUCCGUAGCUGGUCUGAGAGGAUGAUCAGCCACACUGGAACUGAGACACGGUCCGGACUCCUACGGGAGGCAGCAGUGGGGAAUAUUGGACAAUGGGCGCAAGCCUGAUCCAGCCAUACCGCGUGGGUGAAGAAGGCCUUCGGGUUGUAAAGCCCUUUUGUUGGGAAAGAAAAGCAGCAGGUUAAUACCCCGCUGUUCUGACGGUACCCAAAGAAUAAGCACCGGCUAACUUCGUG
rnacentral:rRNA from 1 species